UAUUUAUAUGUACGCGGUAGAGGAGCGUUCCGUAAGCCGUUGAAGGUGGAUUGAGAAGUCUGCUGGAGGUAUCGGAAGUGCGAAUGCUGACAUGAGUAACGAUAAUGCGGGUGAAAAACCCGCACGCCGAAAGCCCAAGGUUUCCUUGCGCAACGUUAAUCGGCGUAGGGUGAGUCGGCCCCUAAGGCGAGGACGAAAGUCGUAGUCGAUGGGAAGCAGGUUAAUAUUCCUGCACCUCGCGUAAGUGCGAUGGAGGGACGGAGAAGGUUAGGUGUACCCGGCGUUGGUUGUCCGGGGGAAAGGCGGUAGGUUUGGAUCUUUGGCAAAUCCGGGAUCCUUCAAGACCGAGCACCGAGACGAGUCUUUAAGACAAAGUCACUGAUACCACGCUUCCAGGAAAAGCUCCUAAGCUUCAGCUUACGCAGACCGUACCGUAAACCGACACAGGUGGGUAGGAUGAGAAUUCUCAGGCGCUUGAGAGAACUCGGGUGAAGGAACUAGGCAACAUGGCACCGUAACUUCGGGAGAAGGUGCGCCCUUUUUGGUGGCUCAUGCGAGCUAUAGCUGAAGAGGGCCGCAGAAACCAGGCCGCUGCGACUGUUUAUCAAAAACACAGCACUCUGCAAACACGAAAGUGGACGUAUAGGGUGUGACGCCUGCCCGGUGCUGGAAGGUUAAUUGAUGGGGUCAGCCGCAAGGCGAAGCUCUUGAUCGAAGCCCCAGUAAACGGCGGC
rnacentral:rRNA from 1 species